AUAAGAUGAGAGGGGGUUCCUCUUUGGCUGGCUUUUCAUCCCGUCGCCCCGUCCCUGUUCUUCCCCUUCCUCUCUUCUCCUCACCCAGGGUUAGAGAUUGAAGAUGGAGAUUUGAGAUUUUGUACCGCGGAUUCAUGGGAAAGGAGGCCCCUCCCUCCUUGUGCCCUCCUGGAUUUUUGAAUUGAUUCGAUCGGUCUCUUGUUCAUCUUGAUUUCCCGGUGUGCCUCUGUUUUUCUUCUUUGGUGCUCUCUGCUUUUGGACUGCAGGGCGGCGCUGAUUUGGCUUUCGCGAGCACCAGCAAGGGAGGCAGUGCUGCGAGCGGCGCAAGGCAAGGUAGGCGCUAGCAGCAGGACGGAGCAGAGGCGUUUGGGCUGGGCGCAGGCAGGCCUCGCGCUGCACAGGAACGGCAAGAACACAACAAGUAGGAUCAAGGCGCUUGGACAGCAAGGAUGUGUUUGGCACUAGUGCAGGGCCCUUUGGCGUGCGGCAGGGAGCAGGCAGCAGGCACCAGCAGAUCAGAGCAGCGUAGGGAGGAGCUUGAUGGCCUUGCCGCCGAGCAGCAGCAGCAGCAGCAGCAGGCAAGCUGUUUGACUGAAUGCCUCACUAGCUGCGCUUGCAAGUGCUGCUGGUCCAAGAAGCUACGGCAAGAGCCGAUGCACGCUGAGUAGGACCGCUGAGCCCACAACACUGGAUCGGCAACACUCUUCUAGUAUCGGUGUCUCCGUAACGUCGCUGAUAAUGCUGUCACCAUUGUCGUCACAUCAGGAGCAGCGCGCCGAUUUGGUCGCCGAAUAUCUUGACGAUGUGAGUCACCCCAUGUCCUGUGGUGUCCCCGUCGUCUUGAAAUAAUCUUCUAGUCAUCCAGCAGUCUCGUGCAGCAAUCAGGUCGUGAUGGAUAGUAACCCUGAUAUUCUUCAGUUGUUGCGGGCGAAGUGAUCGGCACAGUCGUGAAGAGGCAUCGCGUACCUCAGGCCGAUCAGUAUGGCAUCAUUUUGUUCCAUGAGGUCUUCGAUAGCUCGCGGAUAUCUCAUCUAUCCGGCACCCGUUCAUCAGAAAAACCGUCAUCGUGGCUUGACGCGCUUGCCGCAGUGGCAGAGCUUGCGCUGUCGUCAGCGCCGAAGAGCAUAAGGAGUUGACUGGCAAUCGGCGGCGUACGACCCGGCCAGCGCGCAUUUGAUGUUAGCGCUAGUGGGAAUCAUGACGGAUGACGAUGAAGAACUGCAAAUGUGGCGAGAAUGCUGUUGAUACUGCUCCGCAGCAAGCCCUUGGUUCAAAUGUAUCCUUGGCUAUUUAAAAUAUUCCAUCUCAUCUGAUAUGAACCACCAAGCCGAUAAUACUCGAGUUAUGUAUAUAUAACUCAGCUUUGAUCUUCAGUGGCCACUAAGAAUCGGUCUGCCCCAUAGACAAUUAUGCCAGCUGGUGAUAGAAAUACGGUCAAUUGAUCUUUCAUGUUUUCUGAAACCAGCGGCUCAACUGGCUUCUGACGAUGACACCAGCAUCAAUCAGCUGAUGCUCUCAGACUUCGAUACAUUAACGCUUAGCCGAUUGAAACAUCUCAUCAGCUUUCAGUAUCAUAACUUGCUCCCAUUGGCUAAUGCAAAAAUUGGACGAUCGACUCUAUAUCAUCAACCAAGGAACAAUAUUAUAUACCUUUUGUUGCCGAUCAAUUUUUUACGCAGCUGAGAAAAGGGGAGCUGAUAAAUUAGCCCAACAACUUCAUCGGCUAUUCUUGUUAUCGGCAGCACAAACUAAAAUAGCUAGCUUGAUAUCCUUGCUUUUCUUCUGGUCGUAUGUGUAUGCGUGGUCCAAGUAACUUAUGCAUGCUUCUGUGAAGGAGAUUUUCUUGCUUGCAUGUGGAGCGUCGCCGUCGGCAUGAUUCUUCAGUGAAGAUGCGUCAAGAGCACUGAUUGUGCCAAUCAUCAGGGAGCCGAUGAAACCCCAUCGAAAAGCAAAAGCUGUUAACAGCUCGAUAUGCUACACCAACAAUUCUUCAUCGACUGCUUCAUCACCACAAUAUAUUCAUGUAUAUCGGUUCUGAUGGUACUUGAGAAGGACUAGCACCCGCAGCCGAUACAUGUCCUUUUUGAAUUUCAACCCCACCGUCAUGUGUCCUGGAUGUCACUGUGUUCUCGAUAUCGGCCAGAUGCUCCUCAAUGGCCUCCUCCUGUGUUUUGGCAAUUAUGAGCCGAUGAAGCAGUGUGGAUGUUUCUGAGGAAGCCGACGAAAUCCCAGCGACGUAUCAUCUUCAUCGGCGGUGUGCCGGCUCCUUGAGUAUCACAACAUCGUCAUGUCCAAUUUGGGUUCGCGGAUAUGCAUGCAUGUACAUAUGCAAGACGCAUGCCCACACUCUUGCCGCUGCUAGCUUGCUUCUUUCAUUUGAAAUAUUCUAUCCUGAAAUCGGCCAUCAACCACAAAGUCAUAAUGACAA